UCCGACUUAACGCCGGCAGUAUCGUAUGAAAAAUACAACAUACGACGAGGGUUGCGCUCGUUUACGGACUUAACCGUACACUUCACAGCACGAGCUGACGACAGCCGUGCAACACCUGUCAUCUGGUUCCUUGCGGCACGGCCCUAUUUCUAGGGCUUUCCAGAGAUGUCAAACCUGGGUGAGGUUCUUCGCUUAACAUCGAAUUAAACCACAUGCUCCACCGCUUGUGCGGGUCCCCGUCAAUUCCUUUGAGUUUUAGCCUUGCGGCCGUACUCCCCAGGCGGCUGACUUAACGCGUUAGCUACGGUACGCAACGGGUCGAUACGUCACAUACCUAGUCAGCAUCGUUUAGGGCGUGGACUAC
rnacentral:misc_RNA from 1 species